GACAUGAGCAGUUAGGGAAGUCCAGUCAUUUUUCUCUGCAACUUAUAAUGGAAAGCACCUCCUUUUUCUUUCAAGUUCCACUGAAAUUUUCCCCCUCUUCUUCUGCAAAAGAAAUUUUAUUUUCUUCUAAAAAAAUGAAAUUCAAGCAUAAUCCACCAUCCGCUUCCGGCUGAAUUUGUAUUCUGCAAAGGUAGGAGUUCCUUUUUUCUCAAUUUUGUUGUUGUUCAUGUUUACAAAUUUGAAUUUUCUGAUCCAGCACUACACUUGCAUGAUUAUUUCCUUUCAUUUAAAUCAAUGAUUUGAUCAUUUGGGGUGUUUUCGUAAUCGUGGUUUGAUAGAUUUUUGCUCAUAAAUAUCCUGCCAAUUACACAUGCUUCCAAUGAUUUUUGCACCACAAUAUCUUUUGGUUUAAAACCUUAUACUUUCUUUUGUCUACUCCUUGCAUGUCUAGUUCCGGAAAAAUUUCAAAUGUUAUGAAUGAUUGUUUGAGAUGUUUUAAUAACUAUGAACUAAAAAUAAAAAUCUUUUCAUAAGAUUUCAUCAAAUGGGUCCUGUUUUUGACCACCUUGUAGAACAACAAACUUGGUUUCAAAUCUUUUAUGCUUUUUGUGCUCAAAUCUUCGCUUGUCGACUUGCGUAUGCUUUUCAAUGUUAAAAAUGAUUCUAUGAAGAUUGAAAAUGCUUUGCAGCUAUCCAAGAUUUUGAUUUCCAUCAAAAAAUAAAGUUCUGUAUUGAAAUUAAACUAGCCUAUUAACUGUUUGUAAAAAUGACUCAACGAGUCUAUUUAGUUUUGUUUAAGUCUUACUACUUUGAGGCGUCAGUUGAAUUUGGGUUGCUGCACACCCAUUUCGUUUUCUUUGGACAUGGUAAUUAGUUCUUUUAUGUACUUCUCUUUGAAAAACGGCAGUUGCAUACUUGAACUCCAUUUCCACUGGGUUGUUUCAUAAACUUAAAACUACUUUGUCACCUGUGCUGCUUGGUGGUUAACCUUAUAUUUUUAUUCUUUUGUAUUUCUAGUUGUCCCUUCUAAGCAUUACCCCUACAGCUCUCUUGAUGAAAUUUAAUUAUGUUUAUGAGAAUUUGCUUCCAUUCGAUUACCGGAAUGUCUAGCUGAGUACUUCCCAUUUCUAUCUGUUCCAUGAACUGAUGCCAUAUUUUCACUGUAUGAAACAUCAGACUUGUUUGUAUAAACCCGGUGAUCUUUUGAAAUUUUAGGAAGAAGCCAACCCAACGAUUUUCCUUAGCUGAUUCUUUAUGCUCCGUGUUUGCGAAAUGUUGACUAAAUGAAAUAAAUAUACUUCUUCGUCAUCUAAACUCUCAUGCAUAUUUUAUGAUUAUGCUUUACAUUUCUGCUUGCACUCAAUCAAUCACUCGUUUAUGUGUCUUGGCAAGAUUUUAUGGAAUGAUUCAUUUUAUACAGUCAUUUGGAUUAUUUUCGUUUCUGAAUUGCGUUUUCUCUAUAAUGCAUAUUGCGAGUGUUUUCUCCUUGUGAACAAGCCUAGAUAGGGAACUAGAUGACUCUAUUAUAUGAAUGUGAGGCCAUAAUUGCCCCACAAUUACGAGUGGCAACCCGGAAGACCGUUAGCUGUAACGGUGGCUAGUAACCAGAACAACCCUGACAUCAGCGCUGGACCGCUGGCCAAAGGAAUAGUAGAGCACCUAAACUUGAUUUACAACUAUUUGUUUCAUUAUGAAUUUCAGUUGCGAAGUGCUUUUCGUUCUGGUACAUCGUUUUAGUUGCUGCUAGAGCUGGCAAUCCGAGCCAAAACCCGCGGGUUGGCCCGUCCCGUCCCGUGAAAACUCGUGCCCGUCCCGGAUCGUAACUACACAAGACGGGCGCGGGUUGUAUAAUUAGUGGCUUGUGAAGAAACGGGUUAACCCGUCCCGUCCCGUGCACCCCGCGGGUAUCCCGGCUCGGUCCGCACCCACUGCCACUUAGGCUGCUGCGUGUCACACAAUGACACAGUUAUCUGUUACGUGUCAUGUAACAUGUUCGUUCCUCUUCAUAUAAAAGGAAAAAACCCUAGCUCGCCUUCCUCUUCUUUCUUCCUCUUUUUUUCUUCUUCCCUGACCCUGCUGCAGCGCUGCUGAGUCUCCUACUCUCCUGAGUAAACUUCACAGAUUCACAGAAGUGACAGAAAAAUUAUUAGAUUCAUCUAAAGAUCAAAGACAGUCUUGAAGAGAAAUACAAGAGCGGAUUGAUUUUCUGGGCUCGUGAAGAUCGGAGGAAUACAACAACGAAUUGAUUUUCUGGGUUCGUGAAGAGUGAAUUGAUUUUCUGUUCGAUUAAUAAUAUAUUGGAGUUCUAGUGAAAUCUUUAAAUUUUGGUUUGAGCAGUUUGGAUAAGUGGUUGUCCCCUAAAUCUGAUGUCAAGUGUACAAGAGCAAGAGUUACCAGAACCAGACCAUUUCAAGGAUGUUAUGAGUGCUGAUGAUGAAGAUGAUGAUGUUGAGAUGUUAUGAAUGUAUGAUACUAUGAUAGUAUCUGUGUGACUGUGUCUGUGUUUCUUUAA